GACAGAGGGUGCAAACGUUGCUCGGAAUUACUGGGCGUAAAGCGCGUGUAGGUGGAUUGGUGUGUCAGAUGUGAAAUCCCUGGGCUCAACCCAGGAACUGCACCUGAAACUACCAGUCUUGAGUGGUGGAGAGGGAAGUGGAAUUCCUGGUGUAGAGGUGAAAUUCGUAGAUAUCAGGAGGAACACCAGUGGCGAAGGCGGCUUCCUGGACACUAACUGACGCUGAGACGCGAAAGCGUGGGGAGCGAACAGG
rnacentral:rRNA from 1 species